GCCAGCAUGGUGUAGUGGUUUGAGCCCUAGACUACAACUCUGGAGACCAGGGUUCAAUUCCCCACCUAAGGCA